AGCGAACGCUGGCGGUAGGCCUAACACAUGCAAGUCGAACGGCAGCACAGUAAGAGCUUGCUCUUACGGGUGGCGAGUCGCGGACGGGUGAGGAAUACAUCGGAAUCUACUUUUUCGUGGGGGAUCAGGUAGGGGAACUUACGCUAAUACAGCAUACGACCUACGGGUGAAAGCAGGGGAUCUUCGGACCUUGCGCGAUUGAAUGAGCCGAUGUCGGAGUAGCUAGUUGGCGGGGUGAUGGCCCACCAAGGCGACGAUACGUAGCUGGUCUGAGAGGAUGAUCGGCCACACGGGAACUGGGACACGGUCCAGACUCCUACGGGAGGCAGCAGUGGGGAAUAUUGGACAAUGGGCGCAAGCCUGAUCCAGCCAUACCGCGUGGGUGAAGAAGGCCUUCGGGUUGUAAAGCCCUUUUGUUGGGAAAGAAAAGCAGCAGGUUAAUACCCCGCUGUUCUGACGGUACCCAAAGAAUAAGCACCGGCUAACUUCGUG
rnacentral:rRNA from 1 species